ACUCGACUUCUUCCCGCAAUCAACAAUCCUGGAUCCUCCGUUUUUAUUAUCUCCUUAUCCGGUUGAAACAAUUCACACGUAUACUCAUACGUAAAGCCAAUGCUCCGUUCCAUUCUCCCGCGCCAGAAUCAUUUUCUGCUGCUGCAACUCCGCUCCAUCUCCAGUGCAUCAAUGUCGGCUACGCCUGUGGAAGACGCCAUCCGCGCGAAGCUCCAACAAACCUUACAACCUUCCACCCUCAUAAUCCGCAAUGACUCUAAACUCCACGCCCACCACGAGCCUAUGCGCGGGAACACAUCGACAGAGACGCAUUUCCAGUAAAGCCAUGUCUAACUACCAUUUUAAAGCCCCUCACUCGCAAGAUCCGUGAUUCUAAUACUAUAUAUCCCACAUCCAACAGCAUAACAGUAACUUCACCCUCGUUCGCAUCCAAGACGCAAGCCGCACGACAUCGCAUGGUCUACGCUGCGCUGAAGGAGGAGUUGGCACGGGAGGGGGGGAUUCAUGCGUUACAGUUGAAAACGCGGACGGCGGAGGAGGAGGCGAGGGACCAGGUGAGGGAGACUAAGGAGAAGGAGGUUGAGACGGAGUGAGCUGUGUAUUGGUUGAACUGAUUAUUGGAGGCAAGUAAGCAUACGUUUAAAGGUGGGGGCGGGGCUGCAAUAUUUAUCUGGAGGUAAAGCGUUGCCGGCUUAAUUGUAAUAGUAGAACAGAAAGGUAUAUCAUAUGAAUUACUUUAAAUGAAGAAACUACACUCUAGAGCUUGGAACUCUGUGCAAUUAUGUGUUCCCACGAGGUUCUUUUGCCUGCUUUGCGAAAAGAAACAGAAAUUAUGUCAAGCGCGGUGUAUUCGAAGAGUAAAAAAAUAGAAAUUGAUAGCUCGAUUGGUAUAAUAUGAUCCGACAGGAAUUAUACAUAUAAUCCGGAAGGUAGCAAAUGGUAAAUACAAAGGAGGUGUCUAAUCCAAUGGGUGCAGGCGAAUACGAACAAGAGAUCAGGGGAACAAACAGCAACAAAAAGAAGGGAGUAAAACCGAAUGGGGAAGGACGCGCGGGACAGAAGCUCCGAUGAUGUCAUGAACAAAGUAGAAUGGGAUAUUACUAUAUAGGUAUUUAGUUAGUCUUGUGAACACGAUCGAAACCGUGUCAUAUAAUGCGUAGACUUCCCUUCUUCGCUUUUUAGCCAGGCAAGUCGUUCUGUUCAAGAUGGAAUAAACAAAACCAAAUGGAGCAACGAAAAUAUAAAUAAAAUGAAAGCCUUCAAAAAUGAGGAUUAAAAAAUUAAUUAGACAAACAGGUAUAAAGAAACGGGAUAGUGUCUGUGUACAGGGUAAGCGAAAAAUCAAGGGGAGAAAACGCGAAACAGAGAUAAGUAAAUUAGACAACAGUCACAGUACAACAGUAGAAAAAGGGUUUCAAAGUGGGGUGUGGAAAUACGCCACAGCUGAACAAUUUAAAAGUUUUUUUUUUUCAAAAAAAAAAAGACGAAAAGUGUUGGUCAUUGGCCAGAAACUGAAUUUGAGGGCUUCCAAUCCCAAAGCCACAAAGAUACUAGCAUGGGACUAUGGGGAGGAAGGAUACCGGAAGACCUCGAGAAUGUGGGUUGGGAACGACGGAGGGGGUAUUGACUUGAAAGAGAAAAGAAUGAGUUUCGCGGUUGGCUUGAGGGAAGAAGUCAACGCGGGAAGUGAGGGAGGACUCACUCGACCAGAGUCAGAGCGUGGAAUUAAAGUUCAAGAGGUGGGGAGCAAGGUGGAGUAAGAGUGUAUCCGCAGAACUUCCACGGACUGGAAGAAGACAACAACGGCUGGCAGGGGAGCAGACAAUACGAGCUUAUUUGCCGCUGCUCUUGCUGCCGCCAGGUCCAACCGUGAAAUAGAUCGCAAAAAAAAGUACGAGCACAAGAAUAAUGAGAACUACUAUGCCCAGACAAAUCCACUUCUUCUUGUUGCGAGCCCUUGCCUUCUUGAUAGCACCGCCGAUUUCCUCAUUACCCUUUGUGAUAUUAUUAUGGAUCUGUUCGGUCUGAUCAUCGAUUCGUUCAACAGCGGCUUCCUGCUGGAUGACAAUAGCAUCGAGAUCCUGGAACAUCUGCGAUAGUUCCAGCAGGUCGCGUUCGAUCUUCAGGAUCUCGUCGUGUCUGGCACGCACCAUCUGUGAAACUUUCUGUGCAUCGCCGCGUCGGUCGCUUUGCAUAAGAGCCUGGCUGAAUAUUUGUUGUUGCGAUGGGUCCUGGACAGCUUCUUUUACCUCCUCAUCAGUAGCAUCAGGACGCACAAUUCGGUACUGUCUUGCCAUUUGCGCCUCCAAGUCCUUGCGGAAAUCAGACUGUACGGCAUGGAAAUUUGUAAUGGCGGACUUUAGCUUCCGCUCGACCCUUCCGAUCUGAGCGCUGUUGAUGCUCUCCCCGGAACCAGGAGUCUGUUUUAUGCCCUUCAAGCGUUGGACCAGAUUCUGGUAAAGGCGUUUCGCAUCGUUGGCUAAUCCGUCUGCCUGCGAACGAAUGGCAUUCUCACGGGUGGGAUCCGCAUCUGUGAGCAGACGUCGGUACAAGCCUUGGAUCUGCUCGAUGUACCUCUCUACCUCAUCGAUACCCUGUUCAAUAUCUUUACAUUGGUUUAGGAUCGCACGCUUGUCGUUUGGUUCAUCAUAGCCUCCUUGGAUUGGCGGGUCAUAUUGAGACAUUUCGUAUCGACCGGUACCCGCUUCGACAUCGUUAUUGUAUCUAUUGUCUUGUCGAGAGCUGUACGGAUCAUAUUGGCCAUAGCCUUGGCCGCCGUAGUUAUUAUUAUAACUCAUGAUGGCGGCAAAACAACGUUGAGCAGAAUAUGGCUGGAUAGAUGUUUUUCAAUUGUCGAUGCGAUGGAUAAAAUGGCCGCUCAAAGAGGAAUAUUUUGAGUUGGUGAGUGCUGGUGGUGGGAGAGAUUAAAUAGGGUGGGAAAUACGGAAGUAGAGAUUCGUCUCAAAAAAAAGAAAAGGGGGUACACGGGACGAGAAUGCGAGGCAC
rnacentral:sRNA from 2 species